CUGGGAGUAGCAGUUCAGCAUCUGGAGGAGCACUCACUUCCCAUCCCCGGCAUAAAAACAUGAGAAACUGCAACAUGAAACAAUGGACUCGAGUUACAAGAAAACAAAUAUUCCUCUUAAACAUCAGGAAGAACAUCUUUAAAGUAGGUCACCGAAUGGCUUCUAACCUGUGAGUCUCAUCUUCCAGCACUAUCUCUUGCUUCAAUUGUCUCAUCAUAGGAUUUUCAUGGUGAAAUAAAAAUAAAAAUGCAGAAGUGGUUUACCAUAUAUCCUUAUACAUCAGCAAGUGCAUAGCUAUUUAUAAUAUCUUUGUGGCCACACCUAGAUUCUGGACUUCCUUGCCAUGAGAGGCAAAGUUGUCCUUUUCUUGGCAGGCAGAGACAUUUGUAGUCAAGCAGGUCUUUGGUAGAUGAGCUGAGCUGAUGUUGAAGGGGCUGUAACUAUUUCAGUUCUGGCAAUGGUUUGGAGGUGGGGGGGGGGGGUUGCAUGUAUCCACAGAUUUUUUUAUCUACAG